rfam:Erwinia tracheiphila strain BuffGH Etrach_3, whole genome shotgun sequence.
GGUAAAUAAUAGUGGCCCUUGUGGGGCCACUGCACAUUAAACAGUUUUGUGUUGGUCACUCCAGCACUGUUCCGUAUGCAGAACAAUUUACGCAUUCAGACACUGGUAACACAUGAACCCCAUUGUAAUUAACAGGCUCCAGCGAAAGUUGGGCUACAAUUUUACUC